GAUGAACGCUGGCGGCAUGCUUAACACAUGCAAGUCGCACGAUAACGCUCUGGCUUCGGUCGGGACAAGUGCAGUGGCGGACAGGUGCGUAUCGCAUACAUCACCUACCCGCGGGAGCGGGACGGUCACACGGAAACCGUGGCUAAUACCGCACGUCGUCUGGACCACGCGUGGGGACUAGAUCAUAGCCUUCUGGCGCCUUUGGAUGGGUCUGCGUUGGAUUAUCUUGUUGGUGACGCAACGGGUCACCAUCGCAACCAUCCCUAACUGGUCUGACAGGACCAUCGGCCACGCUGGGACUGACACACUGCCCAGACUCGUACCGGACGCAACAAUGGGGAAUCGUGCACAGAUGGGGUCUCCCCUGAGGCACCCGUGCCGCGAGGACGAGCACACCCCUAUGGGGCGUAAACUCCUUUUAUGAACGAAGACACCCCUGUAGGUUCUUGGCGCGACUGUAGUUCAAGAAUACACACCGGCUAACUCCGUGCCCGCACCCGCGGUAAUACAGAGGGUGCACGCGUUGUCCAGAAUCACUGGGUGUAAAGGGUGUGCGCGCGGGGCAACAUCUCGAGAUGUGAAACCUCGUGGCUUACCCAUGGAUGUGCAUUCUACACUGCUGCUCUUGAGUCCCAGAGAGGCUGUCGGAAUUCGUGGUGUAGCGGUAGAAUGCAUAUAUAUCACGAGAGAACCCAGAGGCAAACGCAGGCAUCUGGACGGGUACUGACUCUCAGGCACGAAAGCGUGGCGAGCAAACAGGAUUCGAUACGGUGGUAGUACACGCGGUAUACGAUGAACGCUCGCCGUUGCCUCGCUCAAGGAGCAGUGGAUAAGUUAACGCGUUAAGCGUUCCACAUGAGGAGUACGAUCGCAAGGUAGAAACUCAAGGGAAUUGAUGAGGGCCCGCACAAGCGGUGGAGCAUGUGGCUCAAUCAGAUGCAACGAGAAGAACCUUACCUAGGCUCGAACGCUAGAGGACAGAUCCUGAAAGGGAGCUUCCCAUUGGGGGCUUCUAGCGAGAUACGGCAUGGAUGUGGUCAGCUGGUGUCGUGAGAUGUUGUGUUAAGUCCCGCAACGAGCGUAACCCAUGUGGGUAGUCACCAUCGGGUAGUGCCGGGGAUUCUAGCGAAAAUGCUUGGGCAAGCAGUGAGGAAGGUGGGGAGGAAGUCAAGUCAUCAUGGUCGUUAUGCUUAGGGUUGCACACGUGGUACAAUGGCCGGUACAACGGGUAGCCACCUGGGGAGAGGGAGCGAAUCCGUGAAAACCUGUUCCAGUUCGGAUCCGAUUCUGCAUACUGGAUCUCCAAGUAGCAGGAAUCGAUUGUAAUAUGCGGAUCUAGCAAUGCGAUCGAAGAAUCCGUUCCCAGGCCUUGUACACACCGCCUGUCAAGCCAUGGAAGCUGCACGAGCACCGUGAAGUCCGCGAGUCAACUCGUGGCCUUGCGCUGGAGGGAGAGCGGCCGAAGGUGAGUUCAGUGACUGGGGUU
rnacentral:rRNA from 1 species